rnacentral:rRNA from 1 species
ACGGAGGAUGCGAGCGUUAUCCGGAUUUAUUGGGUUUAAAGGGUGCGCAGGCUGACCGGUAAGUCAAUGGUGAAACGCCCCUGCUUAACAGGGGUCCUGCCAAUGAUACUGCCGGACUAGAGUGCAAGAGGUGUAACUGGAAUGUGGUGUGUAGCGGUGAAAUGCUUAGAUAUGCCACAGAACGCCGAUCGUGAAGACAGGUUACAAACUUGCAACUGACGCUCAUGCACGAAAGCGUGGGGAUCAAACAG